GGGUUGUGAGGUUAAGCGACUAAGCGUACACGGUGGAUGCCCUGGCAGUCAGAGGCGAUGAAGGACGUGCUAAUCUGCGAUAAGCGUCGGUAAGGUGAUAUGAACCGUUAUAACCGGCGAUUUCCGAAUGGGGAAACCCAGUGUGAUUCGUCACACUAUCAUUAACUGAAUCCAUAGGUUAAUGAGGCGAACCGGGGGAACUGAAACAUCUAAGUACCCCGAGGAAAAGAAAUCAACCGAGAUUCCCCCAGUAGCGGCGAGCGAACGGGGAGCAGCCCAGAGCCUGAAUCAGUGUGUGUGUUAGUGGAAGCGUCUGGAAAGGCGUGCGAUACAGGGUGACAGCCCC
rnacentral:rRNA from 1 species